GAGUAGCGUAGCGUCUGGUAGGGGAAGAAAGAACAGAACGGAAGUCCAAAAUAUCUCGAGAAAGAAAAAUGAGACGUUAGUACUUGGUCGUGUAGCGGUGCUCAUAAGGACAAAAACACCCUUCAAGCACGUCAAAUGAACAAUUCAAUAGCAGUAGAAAUUAUAAAAGAAAAAAAAAAACGAAGAGAGAGGGAGACCAAGGUUCUGUCAGUGCAGAACGGGCAGUAAGAGACGAUGGAGAGAGAAAGGGAGAACGAAAGGUAAGCAAUGAGAAGCAAGAGAAAGCCGCCGCAGCUUCUCACUCUUUAGAUCUCUCUCGCUCUCUCUCUCACACACACGCAGGCAAACCUCCGAUUCUCAAAACUUCAAAAGUUUCUUCCCAAUCACCCGCCCCUCUUCGAUUAUUAAUUAAAUAAAAACGGAAGUAUAAAUUAAAAAAACAAAAAGAACAAAGAGGAAUCUCUAUGGUUAUAUGUUAGUCGUCUGAUUCAACUCUUCCCUGAGUUAUGGGCUGCUGCGAAUCUUCCUUUCUGAGAGGACGCGACUCACACUCCAAAGCCAAUCACAACCACCACCACAACAGCAACAACUACCAUAUCACUCAGACCAAUUACGCCCCUCCCCAAACGUCCAACGGAACGGGUUCCCUUGGUGAUGGUGCCUGGGGCGUCCCUGAUUUCUCGGAGUUCUCCUUUGCUGAGCUUAAGGCGGCCACCAACAACUUCAGCUCCGAUUUCAUCGUAUCGGAAAGCGGCGAAACGGCCCCCAAUUUGGUCUACAAAGGUCGCCUCCAAAACGACGAUAAUCGCCGUUGGAUCACCAUCAAGAAAUUCACCAAAUUAGCCUGGCCCGAUCCAAAACAAUUCGCCGAUGAAGCGUGGGGUGUUGGAAAGCUGAGACAUAAGAGAGUGGCCAAUUUGAUUGGGUAUUGCUGUGAUGGUGACGAGAGAUUGCUUGUUGCUGAAUACAUGCCCAAUGAUACCCUUGCAAAGCAUUUAUUUCACUGGGAGAACCAGACUAUCGAGUGGGUCAUGCGAUUGAGAGUUGCUUUAUAUAUAGCUGAAGCAUUAGAUUAUUGCAGUAGUGAAGGUCGUCCAUUGUACCAUGAUUUGAAUGCAUAUAGGGUUCUCUUUGAUGAGAAUGGUGAUCCUAGACUUUCAUGUUUUGGCUUGAUGAAGAACAGUAGGGAUGGGAAAAGUUACAGUACCAAUCUUGCAUAUACGCCUCCUGAGUAUUUAAGAAAUGGAAGGGUUACUCCUGAAAGUGUUAUAUUCAGCUUUGGAACUGUCCUUUUGGAUCUUCUCAGUGGAAAGCACAUUCCUCCAAGUCAUGCUCUUGAUAUGAUACGAGGCAGAAAUAUUCUUCUCUUAAUGGAUUCACACCUAGAGGGAAACUUUUCUACUGAAGAGGCAACGGUGGUCUUUGAUCUUGCCUCACAAUGUUUGCAAUAUGAACCAAGGGAGCGGCCAAGUACCAAAGAUCUUGUGACCACACUUACCCCAUUGCAAAAUAAACCUGAUGUUCCAUCUUAUGUGAUGUUGGGAAUUCCCAAGCAUGAGGAGGGACCUCCUACUCCUCAGCACCCUCUGUCUCCGAUGGGUGAUGCCUGUUCACGGAUGGAUCUCACAGCUAUCCAUCAAAUUUUUGUAAUGACACAUUACAAAGAUGAUGAAGGAACAAAUGAGCUAUCCUUUCAAGAGUGGACUCAACAAAUGAGAGAUAUGUUGGAGGCAAGAAAGCGUGGAGAUGUAGCAUUUCGUGACAAAGAUUUUAAAACUGCUGUAGAGUGUUAUUCUCAGGUAUACAUUCCAUUUCUACUGGGAUGAAGAGAUGACAUUCAUGCACAGCAAUCUUUUGGUCCCAAAAGACCUAGGGUCUGUUGACCCAGUUAAUUAACUUUAUGGUGCUUCUGGUAUUUUAUCAGUUGGACCCUGGGGAUUUUUGCUCAAUAGAAAAGUGAAGUUCAUAGAUGUUGGAACCAUGGUUUCUCCAACUGUAUACGCACGAAGAAGUCUUUGUCAUCUUCUCUGUGAUCAACCAGAUGCUGCCCUCCGAGAUGCAAUGCAAGCGCAAUGUG